GCAGACUUUUAGAAGAACUAACUUCAAAAAAGAUUCCCUAUAUAAUGAGUCAUUUUAAACUGAAAUGAUCAAGACCUCCUAGGGAUUCUAGGUCAUGCCUAAACCAUCACGGUCAAGUUGGACAUGUAUAGAGACCUGGUACUCUCACUCUUCCACCUUCGGCCCCACUUAUAUCCCAGGUUGGGCAUUGAAGUUCCCUGUCAGUCAGUUGGACGGGGGUACAGGACAGGCCCCUUUAAACGCAGAACUCCCUCAAUACUGCAGAACACUGGAAGAGCUCUUGUUCAAGUGGGUAAGUGCAGCCUGAGUGUCUGGUGAGAUCAAACCUGAAGAGAGAGUGAGAUAAGGAGAGAGUUGAGUCAUUAGUCAUCUCUUUUAACUAACUCUCUGAAGUUGGCUGGCUUCACACUAGACCUAGUGAUUAAUGGUAAAGAGAUAGCUCUUGCAAUUCAACUUCUGUAAGUACAAAGAAAUUUAAAGCUUCCCCUGAGCAUUCGCUUCCUCUUCGAAUGCUUCAAAACAAAUCUCAGCAUUAGUAGGCUGAUGCCAGUUCUAUCAUACCCCACAGGCCUUGAUGAGGGAGACGGAGAGAGCCAGGUGUGCCCUAUUGAACAGGCCCCAAUGGUUCUCUGCCUUUUCAUAGCAAUCUCCUAAAGGGAGAACCAGAGUCAUCAAAUCUCAGGACAAAAUGGCAGCCCUAAGAGGGCAAUCCACUGUCAGAAAGCAUGCAUAAGCUAUUAUUCUGAAGAGAAGAAGAUUAUUUCCAUUCACUAUAGGGCUAGUCUGAAGUUUGCAAAGAAGUCCUUUUCAUUCAAUUAUCCCUUGAAGGAAAGUAUGUAUGUAAAAGUUAAGAAAAUUCAAUAUCAAAAAUAGUUUUUGUUUUGGCUUUGAAAUUUUUCUUAAUAUGUAAGCAAAAUUCUUAGUUCUGGAGUUGCAGUUACUCAGUUAUCAAAAAUGAUACAGAUAAGAUAACAAACCCCAUUAACCACCCAGUUGCUCAAACAGAAAUCUAGGAUUCAUGUUAAUUCCUUUCUUCUUUCACCCCUCACACCCAAUCCAUUUGUUUCAUUAGUUCUCCCUUCACAAUACCUUAAUUCAUCCACUUUCUCCAUUCUCAUGGCACCAUUCUAAUAUAAAUCAUGUCUCACCUGAAUUGUUAUCAUAACCUCUUAAACAGAACUAACUCUUGCUUCCAUAGUCUAUUUCAUGGCAGCCAGAGAUUUUUAAAACCCCCAUAAGAUCUGGCCAGCAUGGUGGCUCAUGCCUGUAAUCCCAGCACUUUGGGAGGCUGAGGCGGGUGGACUGCCUGAGGUUAGGAGUUCGAGACCAGCCUGGCCAACAUAGUGAAACCCUGUCUCUACUAAAAACACAAAAAAUUAGCUGGGCGUGGUGACUGGCACCUGUAAUCCCAGCUACUAGGGAGGCUGAGGCAGGAGAAUUGCUUGAACCUGGGAGGCGGAGGUUGCAGUGAGCUGAGAUCGCUCCAUUGCUCUCCAGCCUGGCCAACAAGAGUGAAACUCUGUCUGAAAAACAAAAAACAAAAAAAUUGGCCAGGCGUGGUGAUGCAUGCCUGUAAUUCCAGCUACUAGGGAGGCUGAAGCAGGAGAAUUGCUUGAACCCAGGAGGUGGAGGUUGCAGUGAGCCGAGAUGGUGCCACUGCACUCCAGCCUGGGUGACAGAGCAAGGCUCUGUCUCAAAAAAAAAAAAAAAAAAAAAAAAAAA
rnacentral:lncRNA from 1 species